rnacentral:misc_RNA from 1 species
UUUACUUGAAAUUGGAUCACAUAUGGCGAUAUAUAAUCCAAAGGAUAAUUCAUUCAGAUAUCUAGAUGUUACUAACUUUGCUCCAUAUAUUGAGGCAGGAAUCUACAUUAAGAGUCUAGUUUGUCCCUUUUCACACAAGGGACAACGCAUGCAAAACCAACGGAAGUUCCUCUAACUUAGAUGACGACAACCGUGUGUCUAAUAACAUGAUACUUGCGUUGGUCGGUGUGAAGGAUCCUUACUCUUUGUGGAGAGGCUCAACAGCUGGUUCAGGAGCGCACCUCCAGCCCUUAUCACUAUGAGUAUGACUAAAAGUUAUUCAACAAAGAGUCAGAAAAGAGUACUUAGAAGACGGUUCGAGUAUUGUUUACAGAUUAAUGAAGUGUAUCUCUUUCCAG